UACAGAGGGUGCAAGCGUUGCUCGGAAUCAUUGGGCGUAAAGGGUAGGUAGGUGGUCUCAUUUGUCUAGGGUGAAAGCCUCGAGCUUAACUCGAGAAGUGCCCUAGAAACGGUGAGACUGGAGUCCUGGAGAGGGUCGUGGAAUUCCUGGUGUAGCGGUGAAAUGCGCAGAUAUCAGGAGGAACACCGGUGGCGAAGGCGGCUUGCUGGGCCAGUUCGUGACGCUGAGGAGCGAAAGCGUGGGGAGCGAACAGG
rnacentral:rRNA from 1 species